GGUUGUGGCUCAGUGGUAGAGUGCUUCCCUAGCACAUGUGAGACACUGAGUUCAAUUCUCAGCACCA
rnacentral:tRNA from 1 species